rnacentral:rRNA from 1 species
UACGUAGGGGGCAAGCGUUGUCCGGAAUCAUUGGGCGUAAAGCGCGUGUAGGCGGCCCGGUAAGUCCGCUGUGAAAGUCCAGGGCUCAACCCUGGAAUGCCGGUGGAUACUGUCGGGCUAGAGUCCGGAAGAGGCGAGUGGAAUUCCUGGUGUAGCGGUGAAAUGCGCAGAUAUCAGGAGGAACACCAAUGGCGAAGGCAGCUCGCUGGGACGGUACUGACGCUGAGACGCGAAAGCGUGGGGAGCAAACAGG